UACGGGGGGGGGCAAGCGUUGUUCGGAAUUACUGGGCGUAAAGGGCCAGUAGGCGGCCAACUAAGUCGGAUGUGAAAUCCCCAGGCUCAACUUGGGAACUGCAUCCGAUACUGGAUGGCUUGAAUUCGGGAGAGGGAUGCAGAAUUCCAGGUGUAGCGGUGAAAUGCGUAGAUAUCUGGGAGAAUACCGGUGGCGAAGGCGGCAUCCUGGACCGACAUUGACGCUGAACGGCGAAAGCUAGGGGAGCAAACGGG
rnacentral:rRNA from 1 species